rnacentral:pre_miRNA from 1 species
AGGAGGAACAACAACAGUGGCGGUGGCCAGCUCUGGAGCCCCGGGUUCAGCUCCUGCAGGAACUGCGGAGCUCUCAGUCUGCAGGGGCCUGGAUGCUCCGGGGUCGG